GAUGAAGAACGUAGCGAAAUGCGAUAAGUAGUGUGAAUUGCAGAAUUCAGUGAAUCAUCGAAUCUUUGAACGCACAUUGCGCCUUCUAGUAUUCUGGGAGGCAUGCCUGUUUGAGCGUCAUUAAACCUCUCUCAAGUAUGAUUACUUGGAUGUGAAGGAAGAGUACCUUAAACUUAAGGAGUGUUCUCCUUUGAAAUUGAUUAGCAGAUGGUAAUGUUAUUAAAUCCCUGAUGUUGUAAGAAAUAACAGUCGUUUUGUAGACUAUUAUCUAGCUUUAAAUUAUAAUUUUUAUUAUGGUUGACCUCAAAUCAGGUAAGGAUACCCGCUGAACUUAAGCAUAUCAAUAAGCGGAGGA
rnacentral:misc_RNA from 1 species